rnacentral:rRNA from 1 species
AUUGAACGCUGGCGGCAGGCCUAACACAUGCAAGUCGAACGAGUGGAGGACGGGUGAGUAAUGUCUGGGAAACUGCCCGAUGGAGGGGGAUAACUACUGGAAACGGUAGCUAAUACCGCAUACCAUCGGAUGUGCCGAGAUGGGAUUAGCUAGUAGGUGGGGUAACGGCUCACCUAGGCGACGAUCCCUAGCUGGUCUGAGAGGAUGACCGGCCACACUGGGACUGAGACACGGCCCAGACGCCUACGGGAGGCAGCAGUAGGGAAUAUUGCGCAAUGGGUGCAAGCCUGAUCGAGCCAUGCCGCGUGAGUGAAGAAGGCUUUCGGGUUGUAAAAUACUGUCAUCAGGGAAGCGUUACCCACAGAGAAAGCACCGGCUAACUCCGUGCCAGCAGCCGCGGUAAUUC